UACGUAGGGGGCUAGCGUUGUCCGGAAUCAUUGGGCGUAAAGAGCGUGUAGGCGGUCCGGUAAGUCCGCUGUGAAAGUCGGGGGCUCAACCCUCGAAUGCCGGUGGAUACUGUCGGGCUAGAGUGCGGAAGAGGCGAGUGGAAUUCCUGGUGUAGCGGUGAAAUGCGCAGAUAUCAGGAGGAACACCUAUUGCGAAGGCAGCUCGCUGGGUCCUUUCUGACGCUGAGGGACGAAAGCUAGGGGAGCGAACGGG
rnacentral:rRNA from 1 species